CGGCCGCGCGGCGGCGUGGCCGGAGUGUCAGCGCGGCGUGUCCCCGCCGGCGGCUGAGUCAGGGCGGCCGCCCCCGCCCCCUGCCGUGCCCUUCCCUUCCCUCCCCGGCAUCCGUGUGGGAGCGGCGGGGGCGGCUCGGCGCUUCCUCCUGCAUGAGGUCACACGGCGGGGGAGGGAGCUGCCUCCCCGGUGCUGUCCCCGCUCCCCACCGGGCUGAGGUUAUUGCUCAUGGCCCUUUGUCUGGAGCAUUUAUGGCUGUGCCUGAGUCACUGCAGUUCCAGUCCUGCUGUGCCUGCUCCAUGGAAGGCUUCAGAGGCUGUCGGCAGUGUUGAUGUUUGCACUGCUGCCAUAGCAAACUGCUUCAUGGGGUCAGGGAAACCUCAAACAUCCCUAGCGAAGCCAAAGGGCAGAGCCUGGAAAAAAUCAGAAAACACAAGAGAGAAUGUUUUCUGCUUGAGAGGAUAACAUACAGGUCUAUGCAUUCCACCACUUGGAAAGGUAUAUUUAAUAUAUUAUAUAUUUUGAGUUUUCUCAGCGUCAUGAUUGAUUUUACUAUUCAGUAUAAAACUUAACUGAUCAAUUUGAAUUUCUGCUAUCAAAAUCAGAUACUUAGAAGCUGAACUGUCAAACAAUAAAAUGAGAAGCAGACAGCCUGUAAAUGUUGUA
rnacentral:lncRNA from 1 species